ACAAACUCAUUCGAACAAGAAGAUAUGUUCUAUAGGCUUGUACAACUAUUUUCUUGAGUUCUAAAAAGACAGACACAAAAGUUUGGUCGAUGACAGAGAUCCGACACCACUCACAGAAU
rnacentral:snoRNA from 15 species